rnacentral:rRNA from 1 species
GACGAACGCUGGCGGCGUGCUUAACACAUGCAAGUCGAACGGAAAGGCCCUGCUUUUGUGGGGUGCUCGAGUGGCGAACGGGUGAGUAACACGUGAGUAACCUGCCCUUGACUUUGGGAUAACUUCAGGAAACUGGGGCUAAUACCGGAUAGGAGCUCCUGCUGCAUGGUGGGGGUUGGAAAGUUUCGGCGGUUGGGGAUGGACUCGCGGCUUAUCAGCUUGUUGGUGGGGUAGUGGCUUACCAAGGCUUUGACGGGUCGCCGGCCUGAGAGGGUGAACGGCCACAAUGGGACUGAGAUACGGCCCAGACUCCUACGGGAGGCAGCAGGGGGGAAUAUGGCACAACGGGCGGAAGUCUGAUGCAGCAACGCCGCGUGCGGGAUGACGGCCUUCGGGUUGUAAACCGCAUUCGCCUGUGACGAAGCGUGAGUGACGGUAAUGGGUAAAGAAGCACCGGCUAACUACGUG